CACGUAGGGACCAAGCGUUGUCCGGAUUUAUUGGGCGUAAAGAGCUCGUAGGCGGUUCCGUAAGUCGGAUGUGAAAACUCAGGGCUCAACCCUGAGACGCCAUCUGAUACUGCGGUGACUAGAGUCCGGUAGGGGAGCAUGGAAUUCCUGGUGUAGCGGUGGAAUGCGCAGAUAUCAGGAGGAACACCGAUGGCGAAGGCAGGUCUCUGGGCAUUAACUGACGCUGAGGAGCGAAAGCAUGGGGAGCGAACAGG
rnacentral:rRNA from 1 species